rnacentral:rRNA from 1 species
AGCGAACGCUGGCGGCAGGCUUAACACAUGCAAGUCGAGCGGGCCCUUCGGGGUCAGCGGCAGACGGGUGAGUAACACGUGGGAACGUACCCUUUGGUUCGGAAUAACGCUGGGAAACUAGCGCUAAUACCGGAUACGCCCUUUUGGGGAAAGGCUUGCUGCCGAAGGAUCGGCCCGCGUCUGAUUAGCUAGUUGGUGGGGUAAUGGCCUACCAAGGCGACGAUCAGUAGCUGGUCUGAGAGGAUGAUCAGCCACACUGGGACUGAGACAUGGCCCAGACUCCUACGGGAGGCAGCAGUGGGGAAUAUUGGACAAUGGGCGCAAGCCUGAUCCAGCCAUGCCGCGUGAGUGAUGAAGGCCUUAGGGUUGUAAAGCUCUUUUGUCCGGGACGAUAAUGACGGUACCGGAAGAAUAAGCCCCGGCUAACUUCGUG